rnacentral:lncRNA from 1 species
AGAACUUAAAACAAAAGUGGCUGGAUCUAAUUGCAAGUAAAUGUUUUUUUAAAUUGUUUUAAGUUUCUUGGUUCUUUUGUUGAAAAAUGAUUUUUUACAAUGUCUCGGUUUGAAAAGUUAGCAAGUAAGUAAAUAUGUUUCGAUAUAUUAGUUUGAAAGAAAAACUUACUUUGAUGACGCACCUUCUCUUGAAGAGUGGGCAAACUUUCUCACAUAAAGUUGACAGAUUAGCACAGACAUAAAAUAUGGAUGCUUGGUUAUCGGGAUAUUUAUCUUAUGUGAGAAAUGUUGUCGUUCUUCAUUUUAAGGCCACAUCAGGUAUCUAGAUUUACUUUUGUUUGUCAGUAAAAGUGUCUUAAUUUAUUUUAUUAAAAGUGAGAGGAAAUAUAUUUAUUGUUUCAAUAUAAACUUUCGUCCGUGGUUAAGGAAAUUUUUUUCGAUUUCUUCGAAGAAAGUAGAAUUUUUUGUGUCCGUCCGGUAGUUUGGACUUAAAACAAAAUGUGGCUGGAUCUUCUGACUGCAACUAAAUAUUUUUUGGUAUCGCUUUUCCUUGCUUCUUUCAUUGAAACAUAAAUUUUUACGGUGUCCUAGUUUGGAAUGUAAGCAAGUAAAUAUGUUUUGAUAUAUUAGUUUGAAAGAAAAAAUUACUUUGAUGACACAUUUUGUCUUGAAGAGUCGGCAAACUUUCUCACGUAGAGUUGAAAAAUUAGCGCAGACGUAAAACAUAGAUGCUUGGUUAUCGGGAUAUUCAUCUUAUGUGAGAAAGGUUGUCGUUCUUCAUUUUGAAGUCAAAUCAGGUAACUAGAUUUGCUUUUGUUCAUCAGUAAAAGUACCUUAAUUUAUUUUAUUGAAAGUGAGAAGAGAUCAAUUUAUUGUUUCGAAAUAAAUUUUUAUCAGUGGUUAAGAAAACAAUUUUUUAUUUCUUCUGAAAAAGUAGAAUUUCUUGUGUUCUUCUGGUAGUUUGAACUUAAAAAAAAAUGUGGCUGGAUCUUGUGAUUGCAAGAAAAUAUUUUUGGUAUCGUUUUAAGUUUCUUGCUUCUUUCGUUGAAAAAUAAUUUUUUAUGGUGUCUCGGUUUGGAAAAUAAGCAAGCAAGAAAAUAUGUCCCGAUAUAUUAGUUUGAAAGAAAAAGUUAUUUUGAUGUCACACUUUCUCUUGAAAGGUCGGACAAAUUUUUUCAUAGAGAGUUGACAAAUUAGUGUGGGCAGAAAGCAUAGAUGCUUGGUUAUCGGGAUGUUCAUCUUACAUGAGAAAGGUUGUCGUUCUCAUUUUGAAGUCACCUUAGGUAACUAGAUUUGCUUUUGUUCCUCAGAAUGAGUGCUUUAAUUUAUUUUAUUGAAAGUGAGUGGAAUUUAAUUUAUUAUUUCAAAAUAAAUUUGUUUUCUUUGCAGACAGUCUGUCCGAUAGUUUGAACUUAAAAUAAAAUGUGGCAGGAUCUUCUGUUUGCAAGUAAAUAUUUUUCGGUAUCGUUUUAAGUUUCUUGCUUCUUUCGUUAAAAAAUAAUUUUUUACGGUGUUCUGGUUUGGAAGGUAAGAAAACAAGUAAAUAUGUCCCGCUAUAUCAGUUUGAAAGAAAAAGUUACUUUGAUGACUCACUUUCUUGUGAUGAGUCGGCAAACUUUCUCACAUAGAGCUGACAAAUUAGUGCGGACAUAAAAUAUAGAUGCUUGGUUAUCGAGAUAUUCAUCUUAUGUGAGAAAGAUUGUCAUUCUUCAUUUUAAAGUCACAUCAGUUAACUAGAUUUGCUUUUAUUCGUCAGUAAAAGUGCCUUAAUUUAUUUUAUUGAAAGUGAGAGGUAAUUAAUUUAUUAUUUCAAAAUAAAUAUGCGUCCGUGUUUAAGGAAAUUUGUUUGAUUUCUUUGGAGAAAGUAGAAUUCCUUGUUUCCAUUCGCUAGUUUGAACUUAAAAAAAAUGCGCUUGGAUCUG